UCACACGGAUCCACCUUUCCCCUUCCUUCUAUCUCAUCUCUCUCACAACUCACAUCUCACCAGAUCUUUUCAACCUUCUCUCUCUCUCUCUGGCGACUCAAGCACAUGCCAACGAUUAGGGUUUUGGUAAGAACCCCCACCAUCAUGACUCUGAAAGCGGAUGCUUGUGGUGUUUGAUGUGUAAAUUGUUGAUUUGAACUUAACGUUCUAGGUUGUUGGUGUAUGAACAAGGACUCAUUGAACUACGGAGAUCAGAAGUAAUAUAGGGUUUGUCUUGACGAUCAUAUCAGAGGCCGGAUCUCUCUAUAUGACGCCAGAUCUGUGGUUGUGGGUGGAAGACGCUGACACAAGGCUUGGUUGGGGGUCAGAUUGGUACCGUUUUUACCCUAUCUUUUGAAGAUGAAGACCGAUGAACAGGUGAAAGAGAGAACACUGCGGCUUGGUUCAAGAACCUUCAAAUUCAGCCUUAGUGAAACCCAUAAUUCCUGCUAAUUUCUACAGAGGAGUUCGUGAUUCGCAGCUGAUCGGAUUAUCCGGUUACACAAAAGAGGGCCUUCUGGUUUUUGCUAUGGUGCAGGCCUCAGCACGUUUGACAAAGCAUUCGUAAGACU